AGCGAACGCUGGCGGCAGGCCUAACACAUGCAAGUCGAACGAACCUAUCGUGGGUAGUGGCUCUUGGGUGUGUCACACGUCGGAACGGGCCUUUAUGCUCGGGAUACUACAUGUACGCUGGGGCUAAUAUCGAAUGAGUUCUUCUGGUGCCAGAUUAAUCGCCGUUAGAGCGGCCCGCGUCCGAUUAGCUAGUUGGUUGUGGUAAUGGCGCACCAAGGCGACGAACAGUACCUGGUCAGAGAGGAUGAGCAGCGACAUCGGUAGGGAGACACGGUCGAGACUCCUACGGGAGGGAGGAGUGGGGGAUCUUGCGAAAUGGGCGAAAGGAUGACGGAGCCAUGCCGCGUGAACGAUGAUGGUGUUAGGAAAGUAAAAUUCUUUCACCGGGGACGAUAAUGACGGUACCCAGAGAAGAAGCCCCGGCUAACUUCGUG
rnacentral:rRNA from 1 species